AGGUCAAUCCUUGGAGGUCAGCCCUUGGGGGUCAAUCCUUGGAGGUCAAUCCUUGGAGGUCAAUCCUUGGGGGUCAGCCCUUGGAGGUCAAUCCUUGGAGGUCAAUCCUUGGGGGUCAAUCCUUGGAGGUCAAUCCUUGGAGGUCAAUCCUUGGAGGUCAAUCCUUGGAGGUCAGCCCUUGGAGGUCAAUCCUUGGAGGUCAAUCCUUGGAGGUCAAUCCUUGGAGGUCAGCCCUUGGGGGUCAGCCCCCUUGGAGGUCAAUCCUUGGAGGUCAAUCCUUGGAGGUCAAUCCUUGGAGGUCAGCCCUUAGAGGUCAGCCCUUGGGGGUCAAUCCUUGGAGGUCAGCCCUUGGAGGUCAGCCCUUGGAGGUCAGCCCUUGGGGGUCAAUCCUUGGAGGUCAGCCCUUGGGGGUCAAUCCUU